rnacentral:rRNA from 1 species
AGGAUUAACGCUGGCGGCGUGCCUAACACAUGCAAGUCGAACGAGGUAGCAAUACCUAGUGGCAGACGGGUGAGUAACGCGUGGUCAACCUACCGUUGAGUGGGGGAUAACUAGCCGAAAGGUUAGCUAAUACCGCAUACGUCUCCGAGGGGCAUCCCUUGGCGAUAAAAGGAGCAAUCCGCUCGAUGACGGGACCGCGUCCCAUUAGCUAGAUGGUGGGGUAACGGCCUACCAUGGCACCGAUGGGUAGCUGGUUUGAGAGAGCGACCAGCCACACUGGGACUGAGAAACGGCCCAGACUCCUACGGGAGGCAGCAGUGAGGAAUUUUCCGCAAUGGGCGCAAGCCUGACGGAGCGACGCCGCGUGUGGGAAGAAGGCCUUCGGGUCGUAAACCACUGUCGAAGGGACGAUAAUGACGGUACCCUUGGAGGAAGCCCGGCUAACUACGCGCCAGCAGCCGC